ACCACCCCCAGCUCUAUAAAAUAUGCAGAGCUGUUCCUCAAUAAACGAGCAUUUUCUCCGACGAUGAGCCUUGUUCCUUCUUUCAGGUAUAUUGACAAACUUUUUUGAGAUACAAUGGAUAAACAACAGCCUACUUCUUUUCAUGAUUUCAACAAAGCAAAGGCAAAGUCUAGUGCAUAGGAGAACUUCAUGCUGCAGACAGCAGUCCCCAGAGGCCUGGAGAUCAGACUGACAGACUCCAAACUCUCUUCAGAACCUACCUCCUUUUCUCAUGACCAGUCUACAUGCUCAGGCAAGCUUUUCUCCUCUGAGACAAGUGUGCUCCUGGAAGCUUCUUUACUGCUCUAAGUUUCCAGAGAAUCCUGCCAAAGACAACCUCUCGACCUCUCUGACUGAUAAUAGGAUUGUAUCAGACUUUGAAAUUCCCACUGUGCAUGAUAUUACCACAAAUGUGUCUCAUGACAUUAGGACAUUUGUAGUAGAGACCAGCUUCCACUCCCAGUCGUGGUGUUCUUUUCCUCAGAUUUUACUGUCAUGAUGUA